rnacentral:lncRNA from 1 species
GGGAAUAGUGUCCCCUGAUCUUUAUCACGACGCAUGAGUGGGCAGCCUUUUCUUGCACUAUCAGACGGCUGCCAACGAUCUUCUCACAUGAUCAGAUGGUUGAGGGAGCUCUUAACCAUAUCAAGUAAUGGUGGCCCACUGAGAUGGCAUGAUCCAACAGUCCAGAUGCAUCCUAAGGCAAGAUUGAACAGCUGCGGUGGUUCCCGACUGAAGAGAAGGAAUUUGAGAUGAGUUUGUGCAUUGAUCAAUGGAUGGGAUUUGAUUUGUUGGUGCAAUUCAAUAGCCCAAAGCACUCCUAUGC